AUCACUACGUAGGGACCAGCCUGGUCUACAGAGCAAGUUUCAGGACAGUCGAGCUUGGGCAGUGAAGGAAACCAUGGAAAACAGAAAGCUGCUAAGAUGUAGUUGAACAAGGAGGAUGUUCCAGCCCCAGCAAGCAGCAGAGCUUGGCAGCUUUGGUCACAUGGCUCUAACUUCAAAGUCCAGGAUAGAAGAAAGGAUUUAUGGAAUAUCCCUCCUCAACUAAAGCUGCUGAGGCAAGGAAUGUGUCAGAGGUGUUUCUGCAUAGAGGCCCAAAGAAGCCAUCGGGUGAAGCUGAGGCCUGGAUUACCUUGGAGACCCCAAAAUCUUGGAGAUGCCAGAGCCAUGGGACACCUGCUGAAGAAAGCUGCUAACAGGGAGUGGGAGUGGGACCAACUCAAGAGAGAAAAGUGUGUUGCAGUCAACAAAGCUGAAAGGAAGUGGAGCUAUGAAGAAUGUUUUUAUAUCAGAUAUGGAGAUAUAGAUUGGGAGUUUGCCCAGCUGGGUUUUGGUCUUGCUUUGGUCCAAUAUUUCCUCACUAUGCUCCCUCUUGGAAUGGUAAUGUAUGUCCUGUGCCAUUGUAUGUUGGAAGUAUGCAAUCUGCUUUUUCAUUUUUACUUUAGACGGGUAAGAGUUUGUCAUGAAUCUCAGAAGAGACUUUGGACCUUGGACUUUUAAACAAGUUUGAGACUGUUAUACACUAUGGGGACUUUUGAAGUUAGACUGAAUGUACUUUGUAUUAUGUUAUGCCUACAAACCUAUGGAGGCCAGAGAAUGGAAUGUGGUAGUUUGAAUAAAAAUGGCUCCUAGAGGCCCAAAGGAAGUGGCAUUAUUAUAGGUGUGACCUUGCCGAAGUAGGUGUGGCCUUAUUGGAGGAAGUGUACCAUUUUGUGGAAAUGUGUUUUGAGGUCUCAGAACCUCAAGCCUGGCCUAAUGGCUCACUAUCUCUUGCUGCUACCCAUGGAUCCAGAUGUAGAACUUUCAGUUCUUUCUCCAGUACCAUGUCUGCCUGCAUGCCUACCUGCCAUGCUUACUACCAUGAUGACAAUUGACUAAACCUCUGAACUGGAAGCCAAGCCCAAUUAAAUGUUUUUCUUUAUAAGAGUUGCUGUGGUCAUGGUGUCUCUUCACACAAAAGAAACUCUAAUUAAGACAGUCCCAGCCGUGCCCAUGGUGUCCCAGGAUCUCAUCACUGCUGCUCUGAUCCUCACCUGCUUCCUCAGCUUCUGUAGCCUUACCUGCCCACAGCAGAAUCACAGGAGACUGUCCCCAGCAUCCUAAUCUAGCUGGCUCAGUGGGACACACAGGCCUCAUGUCACUUCCAAAGCUGUUAGGAUUGACUUUUUGCUCUCAAUGGAUAUGUUCCUCAUGAAGUCAUUUACAAGUCAAAACCACCAUUGUCUCCUCCAGUGCUGAAGAGAAGAUAAUGCAAUGUCUGAGUUCCUGCUCCCAAGUCACCUGGAGAGUUCUCCCAAGUGUGUGACAUCUGGAGGAAUGCAGUCCAAGUAACUCUGCUGGAGCCCUGUUUCCCACCAGAGCUUCCAGACACUUUUUGGAACUCAGUGGGGAAUUAUCAGUUGGGGGAAAGUGAUUUGUCCAUCUGUCUAUUUGUCUGUGUAUUUAUCUAACAUCUAUCAUCCACCAGUCUGUCUAUCAUCUACAUCUAUCUAUCCAUCUACACAUCUGUCUAUUUUUCUAAGAAUUAUUUAUUUUAUGUAUAUGAGUACACUCUAGCUGUACAGAUGUUUGUAGCCUUCAUGUGGUUGUUGGGAAUUGAAUUUUAGGACCUCUUCUCGCUCUGGUUAACCCUGCUCUCUCUGGCCGGCCCUGCUCGCUCCGGUCAACUCAGCUUGCUCCAACCCAAAGAUGUGUUUAUUAUUAUACAUCAGUACACUGUAGCUGUCUUCAGGCACACCAGGAGAGGGCGUCAUAUCUCAUUAAAGGUGGUUGUGAGUCAUCAUGUAGUUGCUGGGAUUUGAACUCGGGACCUUGGGAAGAGCAGUCAGUGCCCUUACCCACUGAGCCAUCUCACCAGCCCACAUCUGUCUAUUUAAUUAAAUAUUUUAUUUUUUUCAUUUGUUUGUGGGUAAGGGUGAGGGUGAGUGUAGGUGAAUGCCUUUACCUGCUGACUCAUAUCAUAGGCUCUAGUUAGGGUAAUUUAUUUUUAAAGAUUGAUUUUCUUAUUU
ensembl:lincRNA Gm28867 predicted gene 28867